GGUGAACGCUGGCGGCGUGCCUAAUACAUGCAAGUCGAGCGAACAGACGAGGAGCUUGCUCCUCUGACGUUAGCGGCGGACGGGUGAGUAACACGUGGAUAACCUACCUAUAAGACUGGGAUAACUUCGGGAAACCGGAGCUAAUACCGGAUAAUAUAUUGAACCGCAUGGUUCAAUAGUGAAAAACGGUUUUGCUGUCACUUAUAGAUGGAUCCGCGCCGCAUUAGCUAGUUGGUAAGGUAACGGCUUACCAAGGCAACGAUGCGUAGCCGACCUGAGAGGGUGAUCGGCCACACUGGAACUGAGACACGGUCCAGACUCCUACGGGAGGCAGCAGUAGGGAAUCUUCCGCAAUGGGCGAAAGCCUGACGGAGCAACGCCGCGUGAGUGAUGAAGGUCUUCGGAUCGUAAAACUCUGUUAUUAGGGAAGAACAAAUGUGUAAGUAACUAUGCACGUCUUGACGGUACCUAAUCAGAAAGCCACGGCUAACUACGUG
rnacentral:rRNA from 1 species